CAGCCGCCACGGGAACACGUAGGGUGCAAGCGUUAAUCGGAAUUACUGGGCGUAAAGCGUGCGCAGGCGGUUAUAUAAGUCAGAUGUGAAAUCCCCGGGCUCAACCUGGGAACUGCAUUUGAGACUGUAUGGCUAGAGUGUGUCAGAGGGGGGUAGAAUUCCACGUGUCGCAGUGAAAUGCGUAGAUAUGUGGAGGAAUACCGAUGGCGAAGGCAGCCCCCUGGGCCAAUACUGACGCUCAUGCACGAAAGCGUGGGGAGCAAACAGGAUUAGAUACCCCUGUAGUCCCUGUCUCUUAUAC
rnacentral:rRNA from 1 species